rnacentral:sRNA from 1 species
GCGUGCCACCCGUACGCUCCGGUUCCUCCGCGCCGCCCACACCCAGCUGACGACGGCUCGCUAGGUUUUGUUCGCC